rnacentral:rRNA from 1 species
UACGUAGGGGCCGAGCGUUGUCCGGAAUUACUGGGCGUAAAGCGCGCGCAGGCGGCUCGUCAAGCCUGACGUGAAAGCUCCCGGCUCAACCGGGGAGGGUCGUCGGGGACUGGCGAGCUUGAGGUCGGCAGGGGCUGGUGGAAUUCCACGUGUAGCAGUGAAAUGCGUAGAUAUGUGGAGGAACACCGAUGGCGAAGGCAGCCUCCUGGGCCAGUACUGACGCUCAUGCACGAAAGCGUGGGGAGCAAACAGG